GGUCUCCUCUUCAUGUUGAAACUGGUGUAAUAAAGUUGCUGCAGAAGGAUCCAGUUUCUCACGCCUGUGUUCUUCUGGCGAGACAAUAGCGCGUUGUGAGACUGUCUGUUCUCUUANNNNNNNNNNNUUUUUUAAAUACAGCUCAGGCCCACCUACCUAGGAAUAGGAACUUCACUGGCUAAGAGAACCUGAAAUUUUAUGAGCAAAGCCAUAUAUCGUCGAUAUUACUCAGUUGCUUCAACAAGUUUGUCACCUGAGACUGCAGAUAGUGAAGUGCACUGUCAAGAAGCAAUGCAGAAGCUCAUUUAGAGGAUAGGAAAGAUAUCCCAUGGUGUAUCAGAGUAUCCAGGAUUUGCUAUGUUGGGAGAAGUGGGUUCUGAUGAUGCCAUGUAGCCUCAUUUACUGUUGUGUUUGUGACUGAUGAAAAGUAUGGCAAAGCAGAAAGAUCAGAAGAGACGUAUUGCAGUUUUCAAGAGGAUGUGAAGAAAGACCAUGAAUAAAGCUGCACCUACAAAAAGCUUCCAAGGAUGUUAAAAAGCAAGUCAAGGGGAUUCCACAAAUAGGAUAACAUUGAUUGAAAUUCUGGGUGCAGGGAAGAGUGCUGAUAACUCACAAAACCAAAUUCUGUGGGAUAUUGUUAAUGUUUCUGAAAAUAUUGACAAGGAGUGAGUUACAAAACAACUAGGGUAUUUAGCUGGAAAAAAAAAAAACUCUAUAUUUGGAGAUGGAUCAAGUGUCAGAAAAGAGUCCAUAUUGUAGAGGCCUACUUAACAGAAUAGUGAUUUGGAAAGUAAUAGAUGAUUUAAGAGGAGAAUUCUACAUUGAUCUAAUAGGUCAUUUGGUACCAUGUUUUGUGGGUCUGUCCAGUUCUCUGACUUCCUUUCUUGUGAUGUGUUCAUUCUUCCUAGCACAGGAGCCACUUACUGAUUUUUUCCAUUACAUAGUUCAGCAUAAGAGGAGCCUUUGCAAAAGCCUAAGCUAAGCAGCUUGGAUACUCAGCCUUCAAACUGAGCUAAGUAAAUAUCUUUCCUUAUGACUUCACCACUAUAUUUCAACAUAAUGACCAAAAGCAGACUAAUGAUAAUAAUAGCAUGACCUACAUCAUGGAAAAAUCAUUCUGAGUGCUUGUCUGAGAUGAUUUUGAAUCUAGGAGACAAGGAUACUGGCCGCUUCUGUCAUGCUGAGGAAAGAGAUUGAUAUCUCUUGUCUUUAGAGCAGUGGUUCACAACCUUCCUAGUUCUACAACUUUUUAAUACACUUUCACAUGUUGUGGUGACCCCUUACCACAAAAUGAUUUUGUUGCUACUUUAUCACUGUAAUUUUGCUACUGUUAUAAAUCACAAUGUAUACCAUAAAUACCUAAUAAAAAUGGAAAAAAAACAUUCUGACAAGAGAAUCAUAAUGUAGACUUCUAUUUUAGGUUACAGUGUUAUAUCAUUUGCAUCAAGGAUUAUAAACAUGUGUAAAAUAUCUCCAAGGAUAUUUGUACUCCCUUAUCUGUUAACUUUCAUAUAUGAAUAAAU
ensembl:lincRNA Gm10745 predicted gene 10745